GUGAAGGAUGACUAUAAUUAUUAUAUUAUGCUUAAUAUUACAUCUAAUAAUAAUGCUUUUCAUGUAUAACUUGCAGUAACGGUAAUUUCGAGAUUUCACGAGACUGCAUGUUCUAAUCAUGUUUCACAAUAGCAACGACAACGUAGGUGCUUCAAUGGCGUGCGUGGCCACUGAUCAGCUUCAUUGUGGCAAUAAAUAUAAAAUAUAUGGAUUUGAGAAGAUACAGAUUUGACAAAUGAACCAUUUAAUGUAAUGAAAGAAACUACACCAUAUCACAACAUGAAGCCGCCAGGCAGCUAAUGCAGCAGCCAUAACAAUUUUAAUUGCAAGGAUCUCGUCGGCCCGACAGUGCGAUGGUCUAACUGCCAACAAAACCAUACUCCACACCAUUUAAUUAUUUUUUGUUUU